GCCGAAGUGGUGGAAUUGGUAGACACGACGGUCUCAAAAACCGUUGCCCUCCGGGCGUGCCGGUUCGAUUCCGGCCUUCGGCACCA
rnacentral:tRNA from 1 species